rnacentral:rRNA from 1 species
AGCGAACGCUGGCGGCGUGCCUAACACAUGCAAGUCGAACGUGAAAAGGGAAACCUGAGUACAGUGGCGUACGGGUGAGUAACGCGUAGGUAAUCUACCCCAGAAUCUGGAAUAACCUGCCGAAAGGCGGGCUAAUACUGGAUAGAGCGAGGGAACUCGUAAGAGAGUUUUUCGGGAAAGGGAGCCCGCAAGGGCCUUCGUUCUGGGAUGAGCCUGCGUCUCAUUAGCUAGUUGGUAAGGUAACGGCUUACCAAGGCGAUGAUGAGUAGCUGGUCUGAGAGGAUGAUCAGCCACACUGGAACUGAAACACGGUCCAGACUCCUACGGGAGGCAGCAGUGGGGAAUCUUGCGCAAUGGACGAAAGUCUGACGCAGCCACGCCGCGUGAGUGAAGAAGGCCUUCGGGUUGUAAAGCUCUGUCGGAUGGGACGAACAUCUUCAUAGUGAAUAGCUAUGAGGACUGACGGUACCAUCAAAGGAAGCACCGGCUAACUCCGU